AGGCCGCGACUUUUGCAACUGUUGACUGCAUUGGAAGCAAAUUGCACUCGUCCCGGCCUAC
rnacentral:pre_miRNA from 1 species